AUGGCGACCGGCGCACGAGUGAGUAACACGUAUCCAACCUGCCGAUAACUCGGGGAUAGCCUUUCGAAAGAAAGAUUAAUACCCGAUGGUAUAAUCAGACCGCAUGGUUUGAUUAUUAAAGAAUUUCGGUUAUCGAUGGGGAUGCGUUCCAUUAGGCAGUUGGUGAGGUAACGGCUCACCAAACCUUCGAUGGAUAGGGGUUCUGAGAGGAAGGUCCCCCACAUUGGAACUGAGACACGGUCCAA
rnacentral:rRNA from 1 species